rnacentral:rRNA from 1 species
AGAUUGAACGCUGGCGGCAUGCCUUACACAUGCAAGUCGAACGGCAGCACGGGAGCAAUCCUGGUGGCGAGUGGCGAACGGGUGAGUAAUAUAUCGGAACGUGCCCAGUCGUGGGGGAUAACGCAGCGAAAGCUGUGCUAAUACCGCAUACGAUCUAUGGAUGAAAGCGGGGGAUCGCAAGACCUCGCGCGAUUGGAGCGGCCGAUAUCAGAUUAGCUAGUUGGUGGGGUAAAAGCCUACCAAGGCGACGAUCUGUAGCUGGUCUGAGAGGACGACUACGACGU